AACUAACAAGGAUUCCCCUAGUAACGGCGAGUGAAGCGGGAAGAGCUCAAAUUUGUAAUCUGGCACUUUCAGUGUCCGAGUUGUAAUCUCGAGAAGUAUUUUCCGCGCCGGACCGCAUACAAGUCUGUUGGAAUACAGCGUCAUAGUGGUGAGAGCCCAGUAACUGAUGCGGAUGCCCGGUGCUUUGUGAUAUACUUUCGAAGAGUCGAGUUGUUUGGGAAUGCAGCUCAAAUUGGGUGGUAAAUUCCAUCUAAAGCUAAAUAUUGGCGAGAGACCGAUAGCGAACAAGUACCGUGAGGGAAAGAUGAAAAGCACUUUGGAAAGAGAGUUAACAGUACGUGAAAUUGUUGGAAGGGAAACACUUGACGUCAGACUUGCGUUUCGGAGUUCAGCCGUAAGGUGUAUUCUUCGAUUUGCAGGCCAGCAUCAGUUUUUGGGGGUGGAAAAUCGUGGUUUGAAGGUAGCAGUUUCGGCUGUGUUAUAGCUUUCCACUGGAUUCAUCCUCGGGGACUGAGGAACGCAGUACGCUUUUUGCAAGGCUCUCGAGCUUCGUACUAGGAUGCGGGGAA
rnacentral:rRNA from 1 species